rnacentral:lncRNA from 1 species
UUCAUUUCGCAGCCAGAUGCCUUCUUCUUCCACGGCGGCAGCGAAGGCCUCUAUGCUUCUAAGGUUCACGAUUCUUCCGCUGCUUCUAACGAAAACCACCUUAAAGGAAAGUCAUUCAUCAGGUACAUACACCUAUCGCGAUGACUUUGAUUGUUCUUUACGCACUAGGUUAUGUGCAUUCAUCAAGUCAUCUUUACUUCAUUUUUGGUAUCCCUAUUAUUCUGAUCGGAAUCUCCUAAUCAAAUAUAGUUAGUUUCUAGAUUUGUUAGCGAUCAGACUUAAAUAGAAAAUUACUCGAUCUGUUGCUAUCCCGCUACUUCCCGUGCCGUUCUCUCCAACUGAUUAAUGAAAUGGAAUCUCAGGUUUGAGGAUGUCACCUUUGUGAGAACGAAAGAGGCUGCCAGUAAACAGCACGCGAUGCAGCAGAAUACUGGAUUGGUGGAAGCAAUUGUACUGGAGGUUAAGGAUAGGGAAAGGAUUGGAGGUGGAUUUCUGAAGACCGAUGUGAUCUGCUGUAAUCCUACUCUUGCUGGCACGGGAGCCUGCAAGCUAGGUGAGGUGAUUAUCCAGAAAAACUCGGAGAACCCCGAGUGGCCCAAGCGCAUUCAGACUUCGUUUGCUGGACAGAGUGAGGAAGUUAAAAUGCAACCUGAAAUGGUUGAAAUCAAUAGUACUGGAAUGUAUUACCUCUAUUUUAUGUUUUGUGAUCCGCAACUGGAGGGGACCUUGAUUAAGGGGAGGACUGUUUGGAAGAACCCAAAUGGUUAUUUGCCUGGCAAGAUGACACCUCUCAUGACAUUCUAUGGAAUCAUGUCUCUAGCUUACCUAGGGCUAGGACUACUCU